rnacentral:misc_RNA from 1 species
AAACCACGGCUUUAGUAUGGGAUGGGUUAUCUCGUAGAAUUAUGGCAAAUCAUUUCUCUGAAUUGUCAUGGUCAUUUGAGCCCAAUUCACAUUCACAUCUCACAAAGUGGUGAGCAAAGCUACCCCCAAAUAUUAAAUCAAUGCCACCCAAAGGAAAAAUGUAGCAAUCUGCUGAUAGUGUGAAACUAUCUAGCUCCAAUUACAACCUAGCAUAACCCAGAUGAUUUAGUGUGAUGCCUAUCUCUCAAUCUAACUCCAAAAGGAGGUGUUUGUGAUUUGCAAAUCGAGCUUUGUCACUAGAUUAUUGGCAAUGAAAUUAUGACUUGCUUCAUUGUCAAUCAUAAUAGUUCCCUCCUGUCCAUGUAAACGCCCUUGAAACUUCUUGGUUCUGGGUCCAGAAACCCCUCCUGCUGAAUGCAACAGCAGUUCUAGUUGCUUGAAAUGACCCCCCUGCAAACCUUAUAUGGUGGUGCCUUGCUUUUUCCCGGUUCGAUAUCCUCCGGAACUUCUUCAUCAUCCCCUACAAUCAGAGCUCUAAGGGUUUUAUUCAGGCACACAUGCAAAGGGCUGUAUGGCUGCUUACAUCAAUAACACAGUCCCUUAGCCUUUAGAUCCAUGAAUUCCUAAUGAGAGAAAUGUUGUAGUCCCCUUCUCAAGAUGUUAGAACUCAUGCCUUUGUUGGUCAACCCUCCUGGUGGCACAGGUAAACAGAGAAUAUUGGAGUUG